rnacentral:rRNA from 1 species
AGCGAAUGCUGGCGGCAGGCCUAACACAUGCAAGUCGAACGGAUCCUUCGGGAUUAGUGGCGGACGGGUGAGUAACACGUGGGAACGUGCCCUUUGGUUCGGAACAACUCAGGGAAACUUGAGCUAAUACCGGAUGUGCCCUUCGGGGGAAAGAUUUAUCGCCAUUGGAGCGGCCCGCGUCUGAUUAGCUAGUUGGUGAGGUAAAGGCUCACCAAGGCGACGAUCAGUAGCUGGUCUGAGAGGAUGAUCAGCCACAUUGGGACUGAGACACGGCCCAAACUCCUACGGGUGGCAGCAGUGGGGAAUCUUGCGCAAUGGGCGAAAGCCUGACGCAGCCAUGCCGCGUGAAUGAUGAAGGUCUUAGGAUUGUAAAAUUCUUUCACCGGGGACGAUAAUGACGGUACCCGGAGAAGAAGCCCCGGCUAACUUCGUGCCAGCCGCCGCAGUAAAAC